rnacentral:lncRNA from 1 species
AUGCGGCGGCCAGCCCUCCGAUGCAGCAUGGAGCUGGCGGCCGCCUCCAUCUCAGAACCUUCUGGGCCUUCUCCUCAGAGGUGUCCUCCUCAAGUGCUGCCACCGUGGGGCUGCCCACAUGGAGAUGCCAUGGCCUCCUCCUGGCCCAGCGUGGUAGCCUCCGUGAGGCACAUCUCUUGCAUGAAGGCGCUCCAUGAAGGAAGGGGCUCCGUUUCUCUGGAGGUUUCUCAAGUAGCAAGGCGUUUUCCUGCAGUUUCGUGGCUAUAUGUUGUGAGAGAUUUGUUUCACCAGGAAUUCAGCUCCUUCAAGUGCUGGAGUUGCAAUGAGAUUCUGCUGGGAGAGCCUGACAGGACAUUCAGUUGGUACAAAGCAGAUCUGUACAGACCAUCGCUCCAUCGCUCCAGUACAGAAGUGUCUUGUCACAGUAGUGAAGGACUGUCACAUCUUGCACACCAUGUUAUUUUCAUUGCCAGCAUAGCGAGUAGAAAAGCGUCACAACCGAGUUUCCUCUUGGCAGGAUUUAUAUUGCCUAAUUUUAAAUAUCUACAGCGUAGAUGUCAAAGUAAGAGCUCAUUAUCCAAAGUCGCCG